AUGUGGGAUCGAGACAACACACAUAGCAACCUGCCACCAGGCAAAGGAUGCCCAUCCGGACUUUUACAGGGAGCGGAGGUGGACGCAAAGGUGGAUGUUGAGCACCAUAGGAGUCUAAACAGUGCGCUCAUCAGUAAGAGCAUCACGAGUAAGAAGAUCAUGGAUAUACUUCCCUUAGGAAAUAAAAAAGUCAGAGGUAGAAGAAACCUCAAUCUCAAGGAAGUAGUGACAAAGACCAAGAUCAGACAUAAGAAACUCACAAUGACGAGCCUUCACAAAGGCAAUGUACUUGAGAGUCGUCGCCGGUGA
rnacentral:rRNA from 1 species